rnacentral:rRNA from 1 species
UACCAGCUCUCCGAGUGGUAGGGAUGAUUAUUGGGCUUAAAGCGUCCGUAGCCGGCUUAGCAAGUUUCCUGUUAAAUCCACCGAUUUAAUCGUUGGAGUGCGGGGGAUACUGCUCGGCUAGGGGACGGGAGAGGCAGACGGUAUUUUCGGGGUAGGGGUGAAAUCCUAUAAUCCCGAGAAGACCACCAGUGGCGAAGGCUGUCUGCUAGAACGUGCCCGACGGUGAGGGAUGAAAGCUGGGGGAGCGAACCGGAUUAGAUACCCGGGUAGUCCCAGCUGUAAACGAUGCAGGCUAGGUGUUUGGACGGCCACGUGCCGUUCUAGUGCCGCAGGGAAGCCGUUAAGCCUGCCGCCUGGGGGAGUACGGCCGCAAGGCUGAAACUUAAAGGAAUUGGCGGGGGAGCACCACAAGGGGUGAAGCUUGCGGUUU